rnacentral:lncRNA from 1 species
UUCUCCCCCAAGGAAGGGCAGGCAGCUAGCACUUUUGGAAUCAAGUUCGCCCUGGAAGUGGGCUGUGCCUCAUCUUCGCACUCAGACUCUGAUACAGCUCGGAUAUCUGUCCUCUCCAACUCUCAUGUUGAAAUGUUGGGGGUGCGGCCAGUGGGAGGCAUCUGGGUCCUGGGAGCAGAUCUCUCGUGAAGGGCUUGGUGCUGUCCUUGCAGUAAUGGGGGUAAUGAGUGGGUCCUCAUUCUAUCAGUUCAUGUGAGACCUAGUUAUUUAAAAGAGCCUGGAACACACCCCCCACCCCCCACCCAUACUCUCUUUCUCACCAUGUGACACGCCUGCUCCCCUCCCCUGCCUUCAGCCAAGAAUAAAAGCCUCCUGAGGCCUCACCAGAAGCCAAGCAGAUGCUAGUGCUGUGCUCGUACAGCCUGCAGAACCAUGAGCCAAAUCAACCUCUUCAUAAAUGACGCAGGCUCAGUUAUUCCUUUGCAGUAACACAAAACAGACGAACACAGAUUCCCAAUGUGGUGCACUUCUGGGAGGAUCAGCCCUCAGGCCCAGCCCCAGGAUGAGAGCCGGCUCCUGGGUUUCACCGCCCUCACACGCCCACGACUGUGGAAUGAACGAGACUCACUGGGACCCGUCUUCAAGGUCAGCUCAGCAGUACGGGUCAUGUGAAGUCCCUGUUAAGUCCUUGUGAAAGACGGCCAGGAGAUUUAAAGGUGGAGCAGAUGAGACAGAGCAGGAUACCCCAGGACUGGGUCCAGCUUCUGGGGCCCGGUGGGAAGAGGUCUUUGGAUUCUAGUUCCGCUGAUUUUAACACUUGGGCCGUAACUAGCUUAGAAGAGUUCCAGUCAGCAAGGGGCAAGGGG